CUGGUGAGCAGCAUCUUCGAAGAUGCAGUAUGGCACUGUACAGAUUGUAAUAGGAGUCCUUUCUUUGUAUCCUCAAAACCCCAUCAAGAAAUAAAUCAAAUUAUGACUGUAAAUGAGGAUGAGUAUAGACAAGUAACUUUGCUGCAUAGCGUUUUGUAGAAAUAACAUGACCUCUAUACUCUUCUCUCUUUCCAGUUCAACUACAUCACUUUUGUAAAAGAAAUUGUAAUUAUUGUUGUUGUCAUGGAGUUUCAAUCUUUAAAUCUGCAUACCUGUAAGUGGUAUGUCUGAUUAUGUGAAUGUACAUACACUUACCAUAAACCAUUAGACUAAUUUGACCAUAAAAAUGAAUAGAG
rnacentral:lncRNA from 1 species